AGAGUUUGAUUCUGGCUCAGAUUGAACGCUGGCGGCAUGCCUAACACAUGCAAGUCGAACGGCAGCGCGGACUUCGGUCUGGCGGCGAGUGGCGGACGGGUGAGGAAUGCAUCGGAAUCUGCCCCGACGUGGGGGAUAACUUGGGGAAACUCAAGCUAAUACCGCAUACGUCCUACGGGAGAAAGCAGGGGACCUUCGGGCCUUGCGCGGCGGGAUGAGCCGAUGCCGGAUUAGCUAGUUGGUGGGGUAAAGGCCAACCAAGGCGACGAUCCGUAGCUGGUCUGAGAGGAUGAUCAGCCACACCGGGACUGAGACACGGCCCGGACUCCUACGGGAGGCAGCAGUGGGGAAUAUUGGACAAUGGGGGCAACCCUGAUCCAGCAAUGCCGCGUGUGUGAAGAAGGCCUUCGGGUUGUAAAGCACUUUUAUCAGGAAAGAAAUCCCGCGGGCUAAUACCCUGCGGGGAUGACGGUACCUGAGGAAUAAGCACCGGCUAACUUCGUGCCAGCAGCCGCGGUAAUACGAAGGGUGCAAGCGUUAAUCGGAAUUACUGGGCGUAAAGGGUGCGUAGGCGGUUUGUUAAGUUGGAUGUGAAAGCCCCGGGCUCAACCUGGGAAUGGCAUCCAAAACUGGCAGGCUGGAGUGCGGUAGAGGGUGGUGGAAUUCCCGGUGUAGCGGUGAAAUGCGUAGAGAUCGGGAGGAACAUCGAUGGCGAAGGCAGCCACCUGGACCAGCACUGACGCUGAGGCACGAAAGCGUGGGGAGCAAACCAGGAUUAGAUACCCUGGUAGUCCACGCCCUAAACGAUGCGAACUGGAUGUUGUGGGCAACUAGGCCCUCAGUAUCGAAGCUAACGCGUUAAAGUUCGCCGCCUGGGGAGUACGGUCGCAAGACUGAAACUCAAAGGAAUUGACGGGGGCCCGCACAAGCGGUGGAGUAUGUGGUUUAAUUCGAUGCAACGCGAAGAACCUUACCUGGCCUUGACAUGUCCGGAAUCCUGCAGAGAUGCGGGAGUGCCUUCGGGAAUCGGAACACAGGUGCUGCAUGGCUGUCGUCAGCUCGUGUCGUGAGAUGUUGGGUUAAGUCCCGCAACGAGCGCAACCCUUGUCCUUAGUUGCCAGCACGUAAAGGUGGGAACUCUAAGGAGACCGCCGGUGACAAACCGGAGGAAGGUGGGGAUGACGUCAAGUCAUCAUGGCCCUUACGGCCAGGGCUACACACGUACUACAAUGGGACGUACAGAGGGUUGCCAGACCGCGAGGUGGAGCCAAUCCCAGAAAACGUUUCUCAGUCCGGAUCGAAGUCUGCAACUCGACUUCGUGAAGUCGGAAUCGCUAGUAAUCGCAGAUCAGAAUGCUGCGGUGAAUACGUUCCCGGGCCUUGCACACACCGCCCGUCA
rnacentral:rRNA from 1 species